rnacentral:rRNA from 1 species
UACGUAGGGGGCAAGCGUUGUCCGGAAUUAUUGGGCGUAAAGCGCGCGCAGGCGGUUCAUUAAGUUGGGUGUCAAAGGCAAUGGCUCAACCAUUGUACGCACCCAAAACUGGUGAACUUGAGUGCAGGAGAGGGGAGUGGAAUUCCCGGUGUAGCGGUGGAAUGCGUAGAGAUCGGGAGGAACACCAGUGGCGAAGGCGACUCUCUGGCCUGUAACUGACGCUGAGGCGCGAAAGCGUGGGGAGCAAAC